rnacentral:rRNA from 1 species
GAUGAACGCUGGCGGCGUGCCUAAUACAUGCAAGUCGAGCGAACGGACGAGAAGCUUGCUUCUCUGAUGUUAGCGGCGGACGGGUGAGUAACACGUGGAUAACCUACCUAUAAGACUGGGAUAACUUCGGGAAACCGGAGCUAAUACCGGAUAAUAUUUUGAACCGCAUGGUUCAAAAGUGAAAGACGGUCUUGCUGUCACUUAUAGAUGGAUCCGCGCUGCAUUAGCUAGUUGGUAAGGUAACGGCUUACCAAGGCAACGAUGCAUAGCCGACCUGAGAGGGUGAUCGGCCACACUGGAACUGAGACACGGUCCAGACUCCUACGGGAGGCAGCAGUAGGGAAUCUUCCGCAAUGGGCGAAAGCCUGACGGAGCAACGCCGCGUGAGUGAUGAAGGUCUUCGGAUCGUAAAACUCUGUUAUUAGGGAAGAACAUAUGUGUAAGUAACUGUGCACAUCUUGACGGUACCUAAUCAGAAAGCCACGGCUAACUACGUGCCAGCAGCCGCGGUAAUACGUAGGUGGCAAGCGUUAUCCGGAAUUAUUGGGCGUAAAGCGCGCGUAGGCGGUUUUUUAAGUCUGAUGUGAAAGCCCACGGCUCAACCGUGGAGGGUCAUUGGAAACUGGAAAACUUGAGUGCAGAAGAGGAAAGUGGAAUUCCAUGUGUAGCGGUGAAAUGCGCAGAGAUAUGGAGGAACACCAGUGGCGAAGGCGACUUUCUGGUCUGUAACUGACGCUGAUGUGCGAAAGCGUGGGGAUCAAACAGGAUUAGAUACCCUGGUAGUCCACGCCGUAAACGAUGAGUGCUAAGUGUUAGGGGGUUUCCGCCCCUUAGUGCUGCAGCUAACGCAUUAAGCACUCCGCCUGGGGAGUACGACCGCAAGGUUGAAACUCAAAGGAAUUGACGGGGACCCGCACAAGCGGUGGAGCAUGUGGUUUCAUUCGAAGCAACGCGAAGAACCUUACCAAAUCUUGACAUCCUUUGACAACUCUAGAGAUAGAGCCUUCCCCUUCGGGGGGGCAAAGUGACAGGUGGUGCAUGGUUGUCGUCAGCUCGUGUCGUGAGAUGUUGGGUUAAGUCCCGCAACGAGCGCAACCCUUAAGCUUAGUUGCCAUCAUUAAGUUGGGCACUCUAAGUUGACUGCCGGUGACAAACCGGAGGAAGGUGGGGAUGACGUCAAAUCAUCAUGCCCCUUAUGAUUUGGGCUACACACGUGCUACAAUGGACAAUACAAAGGGCAGCGAAACCGCGAGGUCAAGCAAAUCCCAUAAAGUUGUUCUCAGUUCGGAUUGUAGUCUGCAACUCGACUACAUGAAGCUGGAAUCGCUAGUAAUCGUAGAUCAGCAUGCUACGGUGAAUACGUUCCCGGGUCU